GAUGAACGCUGGCGGCGUGCCUAAUACAUGCAAGUCGAGCGAACAGACGAGGAGCUUGCUCCUCUGACGUUAGCGGCGGACGGGUGAGUAACACGGGGAUAACCUACCUAUAAGACUGGGAUAACUUCGGGAAACCGGAGCUAAUACCGGAUAAUAUAUUGAACCGCAUGGUUCAAUAGUGAAAGACGGUUUUGCUGUCACUUAUAGAUGGAUCCGCGCCGCAUUAGCUAGUUGGUAAGGUAACGGCUUACCAAGGCAACGAUGCGUAGCCGACCUGAGAGGGUGAUCGGCCACACUGGAACUGAGACACGGUCCAGACUCCUACGGGAGGCAGCAGUAGGGAAUCUUCCGCAAUGGGCGAAAGCCUGACGGAGCAACGCCGCGUGAGUGAUGAAGGUCUUCGGAUCGUAAAACUCUGUUAUUAGGGAAGAACAAAUGUGUAAGUAACUAUGCACGUCUUGACGGUACCUAAUCAGAAAGCCACGGCUAACUACGUG
rnacentral:rRNA from 1 species